rnacentral:rRNA from 1 species
GACGAACGCUGGCGGCGUGCCUAAUACAUGCAAGUCGAGCGAACAGAUGAGGAGCUUGCUCCUCUGACGUUAGCGGCGGACGGGUGAGUAACAUGUGGAUAACCUACCUAUAAGACUGGGAUAACUUCGGGAAACCGGAGCUAAUACCGGAUAAUAUAUUGAACCGCAUGGUUCAAUAGUGAAAGACGGUUUUGCUGUAACUUAUAGAUGGAUCCGCGCCGCAUUAGUUAGUUGGUAAGGUAACGGCUUAUCAAGGCGACGAUGCGUAGCCGACCUGCGAGGGUGGUCGGCGACACUGGAGCUGGAACACGGACCAUGCUCCUGCGGGAGGGAGCAGUAGGGAAUCUUCCGCAAUGGUCGGGAGCCUGGCGGAGCAACGCCGCGUGAGUUAUGAAGAUCUUCGGAUCGUAAAACUCUGUUAUUAGGGGAGAACAAAUGUGUAAGUAACUAUGCACGUCUUGACGGUACCUAGUCAGAAAGCCACGGCUAACUACGUG